UACGUGGGACCCAAGCGUUAUCCGGAAUUACUGGGCGUAAAGAGUUGCGUAGGCGGUACAUCAAGCGAAUAGUGAAAUCAUGUGGCUCAACCACAUUGGCUAUUAUUCGAACUGAUGUACUAGGGAAUGGUAGAGGUAGCUGGAAUUCCUAAUGUAGGGGUAAUAUCCGUAGAUAUUAGGAGGAACACCAAUGGCGUAGGCAGGCUACUGGACCAUUUCUGACGCUGAGGCACGAAAGCGUGGGGAGCGAACGGG
rnacentral:misc_RNA from 1 species